AGUGAUAGAAACAGUAACAAGACCUACCAUAGGUGUUUAGGUCUAGUGAAUAUCUAUUAUUUUGCAUAUAUUUAACACUGCAAUUAUGGCACUGUGCUACAAUAAUUUACUUUCUCUGGCAGCAUUUAUCCUAGGAUGCACAGCACAGGACAAUGUAAUACAGUCCAAGCAAGUUACGACAGCUUUUGAAGAUGGAACAGCCACUCUUGACUGCACUUACAAAGCAACCAGCACUCAGUAUCCGAAUCUCUUCUGGUACCAACAGAAGACAAAUGAAUCCCCAAAAUACAUGCUGAUGAGACUUUCUGGAUCGAGCAACAAUGAUGAAGAGUUCAAGUGGAGAUUUAAUGCAGAUCUCAACACAUCUGCAUUUACAGUUCCUCUGACAAUCAAGGAUGUGAGUGUGUCUGACUCUGCUGUGUAUUACUGUGCUCUGAGGCCCACUGUGAGAAAACUGAAGUCAACCCACAUACAAAAACACAAGAGCAGAAACAUGCUUAUGGAUGGUUUAGUCUGUGCAACAGUCAAAUAAAGUCUAUGCUGAUGAUAUUCUUAGUUAUAACAUCAUCAUCAAUAAAUUUAGAUAAGCAAUGG